AAAGAGUUGGACAUUACUGAAAGACUGAACUGAUAAGUCACUGGGUCUGAUUUGCAAACUUUUUGCUGAGAAUUUUUGCUUUUAUGUUAAAAACACACAGUGGUAUAGUGAUAUGCCACAGGUAUAGUGAGAAAGAAUUAUUUACUUACUUAAUUGCUGUUAUGGUAAUGUUAGCUUUGUAAAAGGAGUUGGGAAAUAUUGUCUCUUUUAUUUUCUGGAUCAGAUUGUGUAGAAUUGAUUUUUUCCUCAUUUAAAUAGUUGGUAGAACUCACCAGCAAAACUAUAUGGACUUAGAGACUUCGUUUUUGAAAGGUUAUAAAUUCAGUUUCUUCAGUAAUCCUAGGACUAUUAAUUCUGUCUAUUGCAACUUGGGCACAUUUUAGUGGUUUGUAGUUUUCAAGGAAUUGGUCCAUUUCAUCUAAAGUUUAUGUGUGUAAAAAUGUUUAUAGUAUUAUUGGCAUCUUAGUUUUUUUAUUGUCUGCAGGUUUGUAGUGACAUCCUGUCUUUAAUAAUUGUAUCAAUAAUCUGUCUUUUCCUUUGUUGCUUUCUCAGUCUUUCUAGAGAUUUAUCAAUCUCACUAUUGUUUUAGAGAACCAGCUUUGAAUUUAAUUGAUUUUCUCCAUUGUUUUUUUUUUAAUGUCACUUCUACUCCUAUCUUUAUUAUUUCCUUACUUUUGUUUCUGUUGGGUGUAUGUAGCUCUUUUUAUUUUUACUUCUUAAGGUGGAUGCUUAGAUUGAUUCAAGACCUUCUUUUCUAAUAUAAGCACUGAAUGCUAUAAAUUUCUCUCUGCUGCUGCUACUGCUGCUAAGUCGCUUCAGUCGUGUCCAACUCUGUGCGACCCCAUAGAUGGCAGCCCACCAGGCCCCUCCGUCCCUGGGAUUCUCCAGGCAAGAGUACUGGAGUGGGGUGCCAUUGCCUUCUCUGAAAUUUCUCUCUAGGCACUUCUCUAGCCGCAUCUCACAAAUUUUCAUGUUGUAUUUUCAUUUUCACUUAGUUCAAAAUAUUAAAAAAAAAUAUUUUCUAAUUUCUCUCAAGACUUCCUUUUUGACCCAUGAAUUAUUACCGUAUUUAUUAUUUUGGGCUAUUCUGGGUCUCUUGCUUUGCACGGGCUUUCUCUAGUUGUAUCAAGCGGGGCCUACUCUUCCCUGCAGUCCGCAGGCUUCCCAUCGUGGUGGCUUCUUACUGCGGAGCGCAGGCUCCAGGGCUGGGGGCUCCAGUGCUGUGGCGUCCGGGCUCCAGAGCAGAGGCUCAGUAGUUGUGGCACGUGGGUUUGGUUGCCCUGCAGCGUGUGGGCUCUUCCCCAAGUGAAGUCUCUGUGUCAGCUCAUCCUCACAUCUGUGUCCUCUUGGUGUUAGCAUCUCUUGAUUUUCUUUUCCAUGCAAUUUGAGAUCUUCCUGGUUCUUUGAACUCCAAGCAGUUAGUUUUGAACUGUGUUCUAGCUAAGUUUCAUAUUAUGUCAUGAAACCCUGGGUCUUACUGAAAUCCCAUGGAGAAUUGUUAGUUUUUUUUUUUUUAAGCAGGUAACCAACCUGCAAUGAGGGAGACCUGGGUUUGACCCCUGGAUUGGGAAGAUCCCCUGGAGAAGGGAAAGGCUACCCACUCCAGUAUUCUCACCUGGAGAAGUCCGUGGACUGUGUAGUCCAUGGGGUUGCAAAGAGUCAGACACGACUGAGCGACUUUUACUUUCCCUUUAAACCUGGUUAGGUUCAGCCCGGUAGUCCCAGAGGCCAUCAGUGGGCUGUGGUUCCAGGCCGUGCAGGUCUUAAAACCUCGGCCGGGCUGUUCCGACCCAGCUCGUGUGUGCCACCUAGUGUCCAGUCUGGAACCUGAGCUGUGCUCUGCUCUCAGUCCUGGGUCAGGGGACGGGAGUCAGAGCUACAUGGUGGUAGCUUGCAGGUGAGCCCAGGAGUUCACAGGCAACUUUAGGCUAUGAAUUUCCUGUGCUCCUGUCUCUGCCUCUCCAUGGUCUCCCCAGUACUCUGUGGUACUAUGGGACCUUAUUUCCAGUGUGCAGAGAGAAAGCUGGGACUUUAAUUUUCACAGACUCUGACACAUGCCCCACUAAGUGCACCCGUCUGGAGUCAAGAGAUGGGAGGAGACAAAUGGAAAGAGUCACGGGGUCUGAUCCCAGGGUCUUGGGGCCAUGGUGUCACUGACUGGAGAGGAAGGCUUUGGGAUAUCCCAGGCUUCAUUAAUUGCCAUGGCAGGAUUACUUGCAAGCUGGAUUGCUAAAGAAAAAGAAUGGAAUAUUUCACACUUCCCUGAAAAGGAGCAAUUCUCAUUCUUGCCAUUCAACCCAGAACCAGAGGGCUUCUCCUGGAGAUGUUCUGUCCUUCAACCUGUGCCUACUUCAGGGUCUGGGGCUGUG
ensembl:lncRNA